rnacentral:rRNA from 1 species
AGAGUUUGAUCAUGGCUCAGGACGAACGCUGGCGGCGUGCUUAACACAUGCAAGUCGAACGGUAAGGCCCCAGCUUGCUGGGGUACACGAGUGGCGAACGGGUGAGUAACACGUGGGUGACCUGCCCCGCACUUCGGGAUAAGCCUGGGAAACUGGGUCUAAUACCGGAUAGGACCGCACCGUGAGGGUGUGGUGGAAAGUUUUUCGGUGUGGGAUGGGCCCGCGGCCUAUCAGCUUGUUGGUGGGGUAAUGGCCUACCAAGGCGGCGACGGGUAGCCGGCCUGAGAGGGUGGACGGCCACAUUGGGACUGAGACACGGCCCAGACUCCUACGGGAGGCAGCAGUGGGGAAUAUUGCACAAUGGGCGGAAGCCUGAUGCAGCGACGCCGCGUGGGGGAUGACGGCCUUCGGGUUGUAAACUCCUUUCACCAUCGACGAAGGUUUUCUGACGGUAGAUGGAGAAGAAGCACCGGCUAACUACGUGCCAGCAGCCGCGGUAAUACGUAGGGUGCGAGCGUUGUCCGGAAUUACUGGGCGUAAAGAGCUCGUAGGUGGUUUGUCGCGUCGUCUGUGAAAUUCCGGGGCUUAACUCCGGGCGUGCAGGCGAUACGGGCAUAACUUGAGUACUGUAGGGGAGACUGGAAUUCCUGGUGUAGCGGUGAAAUGCGCAGAUAUCAGGAGGAACACCGGUGGCGAAGGCGGGUCUCUGGGCAGUAACUGACGCUGAGGAGCGAAAGCAUGGGUAGCGAACAGGAUUAGAUACCCUGGUAGUCCAUGCCGUAAACGAUGGACACUAGGUGUUGGGGGUUCGAAUCCUUCAGUGCCGAAGUUAACGCAUUAAGUGUCCCGCCUGGGGAGUACGGUCGCAAGACUGAAACUCAAAUGAAUUUGACGG